ensembl:lncRNA
CUUACGACGUUUCCUUGCGUAAAAGGCGCAAAGUGAGCGGCUUAUUAGCGGACGCGCCCGUGCACACCGCCGCCCGUGAAGUAAUACGCCGAACAACAAACUGACAUCAUCAGAAUGCGACUCUCCCACCCCGACGAGCCCGACACAUUCUAGAGGACGUCAACCAUAAGGGGGGACCGAGUGGGCCAAAGCGUCACCGCUCGCACGCCGGCGCGUGGGUCUGUUCAUGCACGUGCGCCGCGGCUGCAGCCGUCUGCCGCGCGCGUCUGUCUGUCCGCGCAGGAGCCGAGACGGACGGGCCCGGCGGCGACGACGACGACGACGACGACGACCAUGAUGAUGAUGAUGGCGGAGGAGGACUGCGUCGGCUUCCAGGCGCAAAUCGCCUCCAUCAUCGAGAUCCUGGCCAACUCCGCCGUGGCGGAGAUCUGCAAGCUGGUGGACGACGGCUACGCGGCGCUGCGCUCCCAGAUGGAGCGGGAGCGGGAGAAGAGCGCGCGCGAGAACGACGCGCUGCGCGCCAAGCUGCGGGACACCGACAUGAAGAUGCGCGGCUACGAGAGGAAGAUGAGGAGACGGGGUCAGAGAGAGGAAGCCCCCGCCGCUCGUUUCGGGCCGUCCGAAGGAGCUGACAUCCAUCAGCCGGUGGUGCCGCCUCUUCCUGCGCCUUCUCCAGACGCAACCUGCCUUCACGUGUCAAAGAACACACGACCGAAGGCAGAAGAGAAGAAACACACUUAUUGGUGA